rnacentral:rRNA from 1 species
AUUGAACGCUGGCGGCAGGCCUAACACAUGCAAGUCGAACGAGUGGCGGACGGGUGAGUAAUGUCUGGGAAACUGCCUGAUGGAGGGGGAUAACUACUGGAAACGGUAGCUAAUACCGCAUACCAUCAGAUGUGCCCAGAUGGGAUUAGCUUGUUGGUGGGGUAACGGCUCACCAAGGCGACGAUCCCUAGCUGGUCUGAGAGGAGGACCGGCCACACUGUAACUGAGAAACGGUGCAGACGCCUACGGGAGGCGGCAGUGGGGAAUAGUGAGCAGUGGGCGAAAGUCUGAUGAAGCGAUGGCGCGUGUGGGAAGAAGGAAUUAGGGUUGUAAAACACUUUCGGCGGUGAGGCGUUACCCGCAGAAGAAGCCCCGGCUAACUCCGUGCCAGCAGCCGCGGUAAUAC